rnacentral:rRNA from 1 species
UGGGGAAUUUUGGACAAUGGGCGAAAGCCUGAUCCAGCAAUGCCGCGUGUGUGAAGAAGGCCUUCGGGUUGUAAAGCACUUUUGUCCGGAAAGAAAUCCUUGGCUCUAAUACAGUCGGGGGAUGACGGUACCGGAAGAAUAAGCACCGGCUAACUACGUGCCAGCAGCCGCGGUAAUACGUAGGGUGCAAGCGUUAAUCGGAAUUACUGGGCGUAAAGCGUGCGCAGGCGGUUUGCUAAGACCGAUGUGAAAUCCCCGGGCUCAACCUGGGAACUGCAUUGGUGACUGGCAGGCUAGAGUAUGGCAGAGGGGGGUAGAAUUCCACGUGUAGCAGUGAAAUGCGUAGAGAUGUGGAGGAAUACCGAUGGCGAAGGCAGCCCCCUGGGCCAAGUACUGACGCUCAUGCACGAAAAGCGUGGGGGAGCAAAACAGGAUUAGAUACCCUGGUAGUCCACGCCCUAAAACGAUGUCAACUAGUUGUUGGGGAUUCAUUUCCUUAGUAACGUAGCUAACGCGUGAAGUUGACCGCCUGGGGAGUACGGUCGCAAGAUUAAAAACUCAAAUGAAUUGACGGGGUCAUAGCUGUUUCCU